rnacentral:rRNA from 1 species
CUCACAACGCCUUGCUUAACCACACCCCCACGGGAGACAGCAGUAACAAAAAUUAAGCCAUAAACGAAAGUUUGACUAAGCCAUAUUGACCAGGGUUGGUAAAUCUCGUGCCAGCCACCGCGGUCAUACGAUUGACCCAAGCUAACAGGAGUACGGCGUAAAGCGUGUUAAAGCAUCAUACUAAAUAGAGUUAAAUUUUAAUUAAACUGUAAAAAGCCAUAAUUAUAACAAAAAUAAAUGACGAAAGUAACCCUACAAUAGCUGAUACACCAUAGCUAAGACCCAAACUGGGAUUAGAUACCCCACUAUGCUUAGCCCUAAACACAAAUAAUUAUAAAAACAAAAUUAUUCGCCAGAGUACUACCGGCAACAGCCCGAAACUCAAAGGACUUGGCGGUGCUUUAUACCCUUCUAGAGGAGCCUGUUCUAUAAUCGAUAAACCCCGAUAAACCUCACCAAUCCUUGCUAAUACAGUCUAUAUACCGCCAUCUUCAGCAAACCCUAAAAAAGGGACAAAAGUAAGCUCAAUAAUAACACAUAAAGACGUUAGGUCAAGGUGUAACCUAUGGAGUGGGAAGAAAUGGGCUACAUUUUCUACCCAAGAAAAUUCAAUACGAAAGCCAUUAUGAAAUUAAUAGCCAAAGGAGGAUUUAGCAGUAAACUAAGAAUAGAGUGCUUAGUUGAAUCAGGCCAUGAAGCACGCACACACCGCCCGU